rnacentral:rRNA from 1 species
CCAGCAGCUGCGGUAAUUCCAGCUCCAAUAGCGUAUAUUAAAGUUGUUGCAGUUAAAACGCUCGUAGUCUGAUGUAAUGGGGGCUGGAGUGGGGAGCAGCGAUGCCCUUUGCUUUGGUCCUCAUCAGCGGGACAGCAAUGUCCCAUUUUACUUUGAGGAAAUUAGAGUGUUCAAAGCAGGCGAUUGCUUGAAUACUGCAGCAUGGAAUAAUGGAAUAGGACUCGCGUCUUAUUUUGUUGGUUUGGAGAUGUGAGUAAUGAUGAAUAGGGACAGUUGGGGGCAUUGGUAUUCAGUAGUCAGAGGUGAAAUUCUUGGAUUUACGAAAGAUAAACUUCUGCGAAAGCAUUCGGCAAGGAUGUUUUCAUUGAUCAAGAACGAAAGU